rnacentral:tRNA from 1 species
ACCCGUAUGAUGAAAUUGGUAGACAUGCGAGACUUAAAAUCUCGUCCGAAAGGGUCCUGGUUCGACCCCAGGUACGGGUA